GGCUGGUCGGAAUGCAGUGGAGUUUACAAGUCAUUGAUCACAACUAGUUACAGAUUUGUUUCUCCUCCACUCCCACUGCUUUUUUUUUUUUUUGGACUAGCCAAAA
ensembl:Y_RNA Y_RNA Y RNA